ACAGAAAAGAAAAGAAAAUACAGGGAUAUUGAAAUAGAACAAUGAGUAUUCUAUAAAGGCUGCGGCCAUAAAAUCAGUAAUGUUAUUUUGACAAGCAAUGGGUGAGAAUAGGCACGACACUCAUAUCUACAUUAAUUAUACAACCUCUGAUCGCAGUUAUUUAAAGAUGAAAACUGGGAUUUUAACAACAAAAAAGCAAGUGUUACUGAAGUUAAUACUAAACAUUGAAAAUUUGGAAGGAAUCAACCACAGUCUG
rnacentral:misc_RNA from 1 species